AACGCGAAGAACCUUACCUGGCCUUGACAUACAGAGAACUUUCCAGAGAUGGAUUGGUGCCUUCGGGAACUCUGAUACAGGUGCUGCAUGGCUGUCGUCAGCUCGUGUCGUGAGAUGUUGGGUUAAGUCCCGCAACGAGCGCAACCCUUUUCCUUAUUUGCCAGCACUUCGGGUGGGAACUUUAAGGAUACUGCCAGUGACAAACUGGAGGAAGGCGGGGACGACGUCAAGUCAUCAUGGCCCUUACGGCCAGGGCUACACACGUGCUACAAUGGUCGGUACAAAGGGUUGCUACUGCGCGAGCAGAUGCUAAUCUCAAAAAGCCGAUCGUAGUCCGGAUCGCAGUCUGCAACUCGACUGCGUGAAGUCGGAAUCGCUAGUAAUCGCGGGUCAGAAUGCCGCGGUGAAUACGUUCCCGGGUCUUGUACACACCG
rnacentral:rRNA from 1 species